rnacentral:rRNA from 1 species
AUUGAACGCUGGCGGCAUGCCUAACACAUGCAAGUCGAGCGGAUGAAGGGAGCUGGCUCCUGGAUUCAGCGGCGGACGGGUGAGUAAUGCCUAUGAAUCUGCCUGGUAGUGGGGGAUAACGUCCGGAAGCGGGCGCUAAUACCGCAUACGUCCUGAGGGAGAAAGUGGGGGAUCUUCGGACCUCACGCUAUCAGAUGAGCCUAGGUCGGAUUAGCUAGUUGGUGGGGUAAAGGCCUACCAAGGCGACGAUCCGUAACUGGUCUGAGAGGAUGAUCAGUCACACUGGAACUGGGCCACGGACAAGACUCCUACGGGAGGCAGCAGUGGGGAAUAUUGGACAAUGGGCGAAAGCCUGAUCCAGCCACGCCGCGUGUGUGAAGAAGGUCCUCGGAUUGUAAAGACCUUUAAGUUGGGAGGAAGGGCAGUAAGUUAAUACCUUGCUGUUUUGACGUUACCAACAGAAUAAGCACCGGCUAACUUCGUG